AGCUGAAAAAGGAAGUCAGUUUGGUUAGUCAGUGCUUGGGGUGACUGCAUUCAUUAGUAAGCACAUAUUUACAUAAGUUUCAGUGGAAACACAUUUGUUUGUACAAAUACGGAACAGAAUAGGAAUAUGUUUCCAGCAUUCUCACUUGGCAACUCAGAAAAAGACUCAUCCUGCAGACACACAUACAAAUCAACCCUCUUCCUCCCCUCCCCCAGCAUUCAGCAUGGAAAGCUGGCCGCCCUGGUUCUUUACGGCUCAUUUCUAAACGUCAAAUUCACCUCUUACACAGAAUCUUGGAGGUCAUCUGGUUGAACUGAUCCCAAUCAGAAGUGUCUUCCCUGGGAUCCCUGACAGGUGAACUUCCUGAACAAGUUCAAAGGUGGCAUCCUUCCUUCUUAGAAGAUGACCAUUGCUUUUCUGAACAACUGUUACAAUGUUCUUUUCACGUUGAUGCAAAGUCUGGGUCUUUAGAAACUCUUCCUGUCUGUUCUAAUUCUAUCCUCUGGCACCAAACAAAACAAAGCAUUUCCCUCUUGCCCACAAUAGUGCUUCAAACAUUUGCAGGAAGCUCUGUCAUCCAUCCUUUGUUUUUUGCUUCUGGCGAGCACCUCGUUCUGUAAGCAGUCCUUUUAAGAUGCAGUUUCUGCUUCUAUCACUUCCCCAACCCCACUCUGGCAGCCCGGCCUUGACCUGGGACUUGGCCUGGCAUAGAGGCGAGGACACCUCCUCAUCUUGCAAUAUCCUUUUGGAUUUCCUCUGACAGACUGUAAAUACUCAGCCAACAAUUAAAUUCAGAAAGUAAUUAUUUUUGAAUAUAAAUGUAAUUACUAGGAAGUUAUGAAAAUGCAUCUGAUCUGCUGGAUAUGAUGAGUCAGUAGGUUGGGGAGAGCUGUGUCUUCUGAAGUUUUAUGUACUUUAGUCACUGCUCCUCCUUUUCUGCAGAGGUGAAGUCUAUAACCCCAGCUGGCAUUCUGCUAAGGCAGGGUUUCUCAGGCAGGAGUGGGAACAAGCCUGAAAAUCUCCAUCUCCCCAGAGGGGCAGAGUAGAAGUUUGGAAAAGGCUUCCAGAUGACUUUGAUAUGCACAUAUCCCUUUUCUAGAAUUGAGAACCACGGCCUCAAGGACCUCUCUGCGCUUUGGGGAAACAGACCUGAUUUGGUCCUCCUGGGUUCCUGAAAAGAAGUCCUCUUUACAGCCCCAGGACUUUACGUGGAUGUACAGUGCUGGGCUUUAUUUGUGGGCACUAGGGUCUCCUCCGUUGACACUGGUCUUUGUGGCUUCAGCUUGUAGCACAGGGGACAUUUUCUCAUUGGAGGGAGGCUGAGCUCUGGCUGAGUUUUGACGAGCAGGUGGAAUUUUCAUCCUCGCUUUGGAAGUGGUGAAGAGAACUGGCUGAAGCUGGAUGGAUAAGGAGACAGAGAGUAUGAUGACAGAACUUUGAGAGUCCAAAACCAUACCCUUCCCCAGGAAGAAAGGGCAGAGGGCAGAUCGCCUGUUCAGAUUCCACAAAGUGUCUACUCAGGCAAGGCUACAGUUUCACUUGAAGAAAUGUCUCUGAACACCAGAAAGGUAAAGAAGUAUUGGCCACACAGGACAGAAUUGUCUAAAAGCCUCUCUUUUCUUGGCUGUGCUCAGUUUCUGGAGAGCAAGCCCACAUAUUAUUCAUCUCUGGAUCAACAGUAUAGAGCAUGCCAACCACUACAUGCACAAUAAAAGUACAUUAAAUUUUAAUGAACAAAAAAGUGAAUGAUUGAAUGCUUAGGGCGGGUUAGAGAACACACAAGGGUAGUUCCCGCGGACUUCUCAGUCACACCAGCAAAGUAUGUAUAUAUAAAACAAUAUGCACAUGAAUUCCCAGUCACAUGUGCAGAAUUCCUAGAACCAAUGAUUUCUAGUCC
rnacentral:lncRNA from 1 species